CUCAAAUAAACGUUUUCUAUAAUACAAUGAACGUCCCUUUCAUUAAAUAAACUGUAGUAUUUUUUGAGAUAUUCGAAUAGGUUAACCUUGAUUGAGAGCACCUUUCCUAUUAUUGUGAAAUUAGAGCUUCAUCUUAUUUGGAAACUAUGUAGACACUCGUCUUUGAACCAAAACGUCAAUUAAUACUACACUUAAAAGGUGCCAUGCGUCCCAAAUUAUAAUUGUUGGGGAGGAAUUACUACUUUCGAUUUUGUUUUAAGGGACCGUUUGAAUGUUGUUAAUAAUAAUUUUGAAGCAGAG
rnacentral:lncRNA from 1 species